rnacentral:snoRNA from 1 species
CCUUUGUGAUGAGUCUCCUUUCAGUUCUGCUUCCGAAGAUGCCUCCGCAUUUGUGGAUAGCAAAAUUUACCAAACUAAAUUCUGAGCU